rnacentral:rRNA from 1 species
CCUACGGGGGGCAGCAGUGGGGAAUAUUGCACAAUGGGGGAAACCCUGAUGCAGCGACGCCGCGUGAGUGAUGAAGUAUUUCGGUAUGUAAAGCUCUAUCAGCAGGGAAGAUAAUGACGGUACCUGACUAAGAAGCUCCGGCUAAAUACGUGCCAGCAGCCGCGGUAAUACGUAUGGAGCAAGCGUUAUCCGGAUUUACUGGGUGUAAAGGGAGCGCAGACGGCAGGGCAAGUCUGAUGUGAAAGUCCGGGGCUCAACCCCGGGACUGCAUUGGAAACUGUCCGGCUAGAGUGCAGGAGAGGUAAGUGGAAUGCCUAGUGUAGCGGUGAAAUGCGUAGAUAUUAGGAGGAACACCAGUGGCGAAGGCGGCAUGCCGGCUCCACACUGACGCUGAGGCACGAAAGCGUGGGUAUCGAACAGGAUUAGAUACCCCGGUAGUC